UGAGACUUGAUUCCAAAAUGAUGGGGACC
rnacentral:piRNA from 1 species